rnacentral:lncRNA from 1 species
AAGGCCCCACCCCCACAGACUUAAGUGAAGACCCGCAUUCCUACUUUCUAUCCCAAAUGUUGCGUUUUCUAAGACCACUCUGGCCCGCCAUACCUCCAUCCUGGGCCUAUAAAAAUCCGAGACCCUAGCAAGACAGAAACGGAAGCUGCUGGACGACGAGAUGAAAAUAUCGGCCAAAGAAGACAAGCCACCGGACAUUGAGAGGACAUCGAGGGGAGCCCCCGCUUGUCGCACGCCCUGCCACAGGGAUGAGGGAACCUCUCCAGUUUCAAUAUUAUCCAACCACGUUGAUCACUUAAGAAAAAGAAGCCUUGUGCUAUUAAAGAAGAAUAAGGAGGAGGAAGAGGAGGAGACGGAAGAGAGGAGAAGAGAGGAGCAGGGGAAAAGCAUACGGACAGAAGAACACACAAAAGACUGAGAGUUGAUUCUGAUGGCAUUUUCUUUCUUAGGUAGUUUUUUCUAAGCUCCAGACUCAUUAUCAUCCUUGUUUUCUACAAGCCACACUAAUAUCAUCUUAAUAAAUUAUUUUAUUUUUUGCUGAAAAACAUCUUGAGUCCUUUUCUGUAACUUGUGAUGAAUUAAUUCCUAAAUAACGUAGGUCACAUGUGCUAAUAACUAUUGUUGUAUUUGUUGUGCACUUCAGGCAGUUUACAUAAAUGAUGGAAUAUUAGGUCUGAACAUUUAUUCAAGCCAACCAUCUGGGACAAUCAGUACCCUAGUCAGACAUACCCACUUCAGGAGUGUUCAUCUAUUAAUGAAUCACAAAGGCCACUCUUGGGGAGAUAACUGCAAGUCUUUCAGCUCUUGCUAAAAUCCAAAGGAAAAUAAAAGAGAAUUUCAAUACGUGUGGCUCUAAUGUUCGGGAUGAAAAUGUGAACCUAUCUUUCACUAUAUAAUGUAUUUUCCCAAGUACUUAUUACCCCUUGAGGUAGUUAUUAACACUGCUAAGAAAUAUUUACGACUUCUUGUGGAUAUAGCAGCAAGUUCCAGCUAAAGAAUUAUGAGUAAAAGUGACAUGCUUCACGGCCUAUCAUCUCCCCCAACUUUGCCAUGGACACCAACAAUGCUUGGGAUGAUUGCUGACCUAUCAACAUAAAUCCUUAGGAGAAGAUGAUGGGCUGAGUUGACAGCUAAACUCAGUAUUAGGUAAUUGAAUGUUUCAUUUGAUUGUAAAAAUUUAGGGUGUAUUUUUAAUGACGAAUAAGUCACUAAAUUCUACCAUAUUUUUCCAUAGUUUGAUAAGACUAUCAGAGUUUUUAUCUUAAGAUGACUAUUCACAGCACAGAUGUACAUAUCAGUUUAUCCCUGUAUGAUGCUUUACAAUCAUUUCACUGCCAACAUUCAGCCAAUGUCUCUAUUUGUGUUUUGAAAAAACUUCACCUGUGAUUAAUGUGUACAACUGAUUUUUGUUUAUGUGUUGUUAACAUUUGAGAAGUUAUCCAUCUAUGAAAGUAAUAGCACAUUGAAAAGAUUGGUCCUCUGAGUUUCAAAUAGCAAGGGGAAAAUAAAUGGAGCUGUGGGAAAUUUCAGGAAGGCUAAAUAAACCAAAUAAAGUUCAACUUCCAUCUGAGUCUACUAGUCAAUAUUUUAAGCCAUCUUCUGGAUGGAAAGGAAAAGUGGAAAUUUACACUAUUGUACAAUUGUUAUUUUGUUAAAUACUAUCUGUACUAAUAGACUAAAGGUCUCCUGUUAGGGGUGAUGUGAUAUGUUAUUAAAUAUAAGGGAAUUAGAAUGAAUUAUAUUAAAUCUACUGUGAGAAUAUGCCUUGUGACUUUUCAGAUAAAGUCCAAAAAUAAUUUAAAAUUUGGGAUAAAGAAGAGGACGCUUAUCAUUGGCUUUUACUAGUUGCUUGUUAACACAUGCACAAAAUCAUAUUUACUCAUUUU